UACGAAACUUUCAAAUUUCUUGUUUGUGAAAUAUUUGAGUUUGUUGUUCACAUAAGGAGCCCAUCUCUUGUUGCAAGUGACUCAAGUUUUUCAUAUUCAAUAUAUAUACGUUCAUGUGUAUCUGUACAUAUAUACAUGUAAUCUCCGUAUUUAAAUACAUUAUACUGAUUUCUUUGGAUGUUCUUACGUGAUUUGGCGAAAACGUUUCGAGGCUUGGUUCAGGAUAAAUUAACAGUUUGCAAGAUUUGAAAUGCCCAAGUUCGCAUUAAUAAUCGACUUGGAGUGUGGUGAAAUGCCCAAGUUCGCAUUAAUCAUUGGCUUGGAGUUCGCAUUAAUCAUCGACUUUUGACAAUAUCUUAGAGAAAAUUCGAUUACGCAACAAAAUGCUUACCAAUUGAGACCGGAUAAAUUGUAGCGACCUGGAAAAGGUAUUCUUGAAAUGUGUCAACCGCAACGAUCAUUACAAGCUUAGUUUGACACUAAUUAUUAAUGGGGUAUUCAAUUUCAGAUAUCGAAAUGUGGGGAUACAUCCUGAAACUCUUUUCAUUGUGAACGACUUGGAUUUCUUCAAUGUCUACCUAUAGGGAAUAGUAUGUUUUAAACUUCUUAUCAAAUCACUAUUCCGUGGAUGAGAGAGACAGGCAAAGUUGGCAAAGGUCAACGAUUGUGAUGGAAUGUCCUAUACGUUGUACGAAUUUCCUCUUGAUAUUCAAUUGUGGGUGUAUGAGGCAAUCCCAGAGUUGGGGCUUGAUUCUCGAGUAAGAUUAGUGACAACCUUUCGAGAAUAUUGCGGUAGUCUGGCACUAGAAAACCUCAAUCGAGAAUAUAUUCAGAUAUCUUUAACAGGACACAUUUGUACUUGUGGGCGAUGCUACCACUACUGCUGAAAGAAGAAUUGCAGCCGUAAUUUGCUGAUUUGGUUUCAUUGGAAGAUGCUGCAGAUCAGGUUCUAACCAGUCUCAAUGUUCAAUUAACUGAAAUACAAGAUUGUCCACAGAAGGCGAAGUGAUACAAAAUGAUGAGAACAACAACCGACAUAAGAAAUCUAGGAGAGGCAAUAUAAGUGGACUUCGUCUGAGGGAUUUCAGAGACGAUGAAGGUGGAGACAAAGGGCUUUGCGAUCCAGUCCAAGACUUGCAAUCAACUUCUAGCUUACUAAAUCAUCUACCGGUGAGCAUGUGACUUUAGAUAAGAUAAGAGCUAUGUUGACUAAACAGAGGAAGGCGAUUGGGAUCAGGCUGGGUGAACUUUACUGGUAUUGAACAGAAGAUGGGGGAUUAUGUGUACUGCAUAAAGGAUCAUGUGAUCGAUCAUAUAAGUAUGAUCAAAUGUAGGUUCGAGAAAGUGGUUACAUAAAUUGGGAGACAUAAUGUGCGUGAUGAGUACUUUGGAUUUGGUUGUGUUGAUGGUGAUAGAGAUAUGCAUGUACGUGAUGAUUAUGAUGAUUUGUCCUUGCCCAACACUACAAUAUGAUUAGACUAGAAGUUUCGCAAUAUAAUUUUAAUGA